GUGACGAGUGGCGGACGGGUGAGUAAUGUCUGGGGAUCUGCCCGAUGGAGGGGGAUAACCACUGGAAACGGUGGCUAAUACCGCAUAACGUCGCAAGACCAAAGUGGGGGACCUUCGGGCCUCACACCAUCGGAUGAACCCAGAUGGGAUUAGCUAGUAGGUGGGGUAACGGCUCACCUAGGCGACGAUCCCUAGCUGGUCUGAGAGGAUGACCAGCCACACUGGAACUGAGACACGGUCCAGACUCCUACGGGAGGCAGCAGUGGGGAAUAUUGCACAAUGGGCGCAAGCCUGAUGCAGCCAUGCCGCGUGUAUGAAGAAGGCCUCGGGUUGUAAAGUACUUUCAGCGGGGAGGAAGGGGACGAGGUUAAUAACCUCGUUCAUUGACGUUACCCGCAGAAGAAGCACCGGCUAACUCCGUGCCAGCAGCCGCGGUAAUACGGAGGGUGCAAGCGUUAAUCGGAAUUACUGGGCGUAAAGCGCACGCAGGCGGUCUGUUAAGUCAGAUGUGAAAUCCCCGGGCUUAACCUGGGAACUGCAUUUGAAACUGGCAGGCUUGAGUCUUGUAGAGGGGGGUAGAAUUCCAGGUGUAGCGGUGAAAUGCGUAGAGAUCUGGAGGAAUACCGGUGGCGAAGGCGGCCCCCUGGACAAAGACUGACGCUCAGGUGCGAAAGCGUGGGGAGCAAACAGGAUUAGA
rnacentral:rRNA from 1 species